rnacentral:tRNA from 1 species
GCCGAGGUGGUGAAAUUGGUAGACACGCCAGCUUCAGGUGCUGGUUGGGGUAAACCCGUGGAGGUUCAAGUCCUCUCCUCGGCACCA